GGUUCUUACCUGAGAGGUUUCGGGAGAAGCGAGUUGGAGUAGCUACUUCGGGACAUCAACUCCUAAACCUGGUCUGCUGGAUGUGAAUGAAUAUUGAAGUUCAGAGAAUUUAAGUUUGGUUCAACAUUAUCCUUUUGGUAGAUUUGGGAGCCUACCUUUGAGACCAAGCCUGUCACCCUUCAGACCUCUCUCCAAGACCAAAGAUCCAAAGAUGCGGAAUAAGCCCCAGCGGCCCCCUGGUCUUCACUCACCCCUAGCAGCCCACCAGCUCUAGCCCCACGGACGGUUCCAGCUCUCUGCCCCGCCCGCUCCCCGCGAGCCCGCGCGUGACUUUAGCGCGCGCGCGCAGCUCGGCCCGGAAGGUCACCUCCUUCAUCACGGAUUCUAUUUGCAUCCGGAAUCGCAUGUACAUGAAAAAUGUGUCCGCGUGCGGCCCCGACUGCAGACGCAGAUGAAAUUCUGUGCCGAGCCUGAUGCGCGGUAACCUUUGCAGAUGGCGCCGCUAUUGCUGAGAAAUGGAUUGCUUAAUAAAGCGUAUCAUCCG